UACGUAGGUGGCAAGCGUUGUCCGGAUUUACUGGGCGUAAAGGGAGCGUAGGUGGACCUUUAAGUGAGAUGUGAAAUACCCGAGCUCAACUUGGGUGCUGCAUUUCAAACUGGAGGUCUAGAGUGCAGGAGAGGAAAGUGGAAUUCCUAGUGUAGCGGUGAAAUGCGUAGAGAUUAGGAAGAACACCAGUGGCGAAGGCGACUUUCUGGACUGUAACUGACACUGAGGCUCGAAAGCGUGGGGAGCAAAC
rnacentral:rRNA from 1 species